AUGGUCAUAACUCACUCAAUUUUGGUCCGAAUUGAGCGAUUCUUGUGACCACGGAACGAGGGAAGGAUCCUCUACUGAUAUAUAGUAUCAAUUUAAGGUUAUUGAAAGCUUGAAGGGAGUAUUUUGAUGGUUGUUCAUGGAGGAAUUCAUUCAACCAAAGGGUUAUCCCAUCAAGAAAAGGGAUGGUAUGAUAUGAUUUGAAGAGUUAAGCUUCCGAAGUUUUAAUUCUCGGAAGUCAUUUGUAUAAGAAGAAAAAGAAGGUUUUCAUUCUAGCGGUCCGCAGUAGUCUAGAUAUUUUAACUAGAAUUUUGUAUAACGCGUUUUUAACUCUGAUAUUAUUUGUAAAUGGGGUCACACGUAUUUUAAUAUAUGAAAUAUGUUUUGAUUUGCGAAAAAAAUUUACACAGGUUUUUAGGCUUGUUACGGGAUUUGGAGCUACCACUCCCAUUCCCUAGCGCCGGUCGCGGCUCAUAAAUUUGGGUCGUGACAAAGUUGGUAUCAGAGCAAUGGUUUAGAAUUCCUAGGCCAUUGUUCUUUUAUGAUUGAAGUAUAGGAAAGUGUCGAUCAAUAUAUAGGAACUACUGCGGAUUAUAGGGAUUUCCAGUCAUGUCUUUUGAACGUUAUCAAUGUUUUCAUCGAUUUUUCAAA